AUACUACGAUGGUUGCAUAGUUGAGCAGAUCAAAUCAUAAAAAGAUUUGCUAUUUGUCUGAUGUAUUU
ensembl:snoRNA